UCUAUUGCAGCUUUGCUAGGUUUUGUUUCUCAAUAAACUGUUAUAUGAUUGGUACACAAAAUUAAAUCAUGUUGGAUAAAUGGUGCCAAAUGGGAUGUUCCAAAUUUGGAGUUACCAUUUUUUUGGGGUUGGUCAUCUUUGAGAACAUCCCCUUCACAAUUACUUUAUUUCUGUGGUCGGGUAAUCAUGGGUUCUUUUGAUACUGAAUAUGGUUACUGGAUUAUAUCAAUUAGCAAAGCCAUUAAGGUAUGAUCUUCUCACUUAUCAUCAUUUAUAUCUUUUUUUUUCCUAUCCAGUUUCCUACUAUGUAUUUUGCUUGCAAAUUUAAACAGUUAGUCUAUCAAUGAAGGACAACUCAUUUUGUCUAUCAAGGACAACUCCGUUAGUCUACCAUUGAGGGACAUCUCGGGCAACAAAGCUUCUUCAUCAAAAAGAAAAGAGAGUAAGAUAUCCUAUACGAAAGGAAUGGGAAGAUGUGAGGAAGCGCCUAAAAGGGUGGUUUGUGAAGACAUAUAGGUUACCUGGGUUUAUUGGAAAUGGAGCAAAAUGUUGGUUCUCUCAUAGAUGAAUCGAGUCAUAUGGCGAUCAGGCGACACCAUGCUUGCAGGUAACCUUGCGAAUCCAAGACGUGAUGGUUGAUGGAUGCUUGCGCUAGAGUUUGGGCUUAGUCUUACGUGGAUCAAGGAUUCAUUUGCCCCUAUUUGCAUUAUGCUUUAUGUACUUGUUGUUGA